UGGGGAAUAUUGCACAAUGGGGGAAACCCUGAUGCAGCGACGCCGCGUGAGCGAUGAAGGCUUUCGAGUCGUAAAGCUCUGUCCUAUGGGAAGAUAAUGACGGUACCAUAAGAAAAAGCCCCGGCUAACUACGUGCCAGCAGCCGCGGUAAUACGUAGGGGGCUAGCGUUGUCCGGAAUCACUGGGCGUAAAGGGUUCGCAGGCGGCAAUGCAAGUCAGAUGUAAAAGGCAAAGGCUCAACCUUUGUAAGCAUCUGAAACUGUAUAGCUUGAGAAGUGUAGAGGCAAGUGGAAUUUUUAGUGUAGCGAUGAAAUGCGUAGAUAUUAAAAAGAAUACCGGUGGCGAAGGCGACUUGCUGGGCACAAUCUGACGCUGAGGAACGAAAGCGUGGGGAGCAAACAGG
rnacentral:rRNA from 1 species